GUACACGCUGUGACUAGCAUAUCAAUAAGCGGAGGAAAAGAAACUAACAAGGAUUCCCUUAGUAACGGCGAGUGAAGCGGGAAGAGCUCAAAUUUGAAAUCUUCAAGGUUUUACCUUGACGAAUUGUAGUUUAAAGAAGUGUUUUCUGUUGAAGUUUUGGUAAAAGUUCUUUGGAAUAGGACAUCAUAGAGGGUGAGAAUCCCGUAUUUGACCAUUAUUUUCAGCUGUGUGAUACACUUUCAAAGAGUCGGAUUGUUUGGGAAUGCAGUCCAAAAUGGGUGGUAAAUUUCAUCUAAAGCUAAAUAUUGGCGAGAGACCGAUAGCGAACAAGUACCGUGAGGGAAAGAUGAAAAGAACUUUGAAAAGAGAGUUAAACAGUACGUGAAAUUGUCAAAAGGGAAGCGUUUGACACCAGUGCUGUUUUCUCGAAAAUCAAUUAAAAAAGGCAGGAUUUUGUGUUGUAUUGACUUUAUCAGCUUUCUGCACUCUUUUCUUGUCUUUUUUAAUGCACUUUUCGUUUAACAAGUCAACAUCAAUUUCUUUUGUUGUAAAAGGGUCAUUGGAAGGUGGCUUUCUUUUCGGAGAAAGUGUUUAUAGCCUUUGGCCUCUGCAAUCGGAGAGAUUGAGGUCUGCAGCGUAGAUCCUUCGGGGUUAGAUACAUUUGUGCUAAGUUAUAGCCUUUCAUAGACAACUUGUUGACUAUGAUCAGUCAUGUAGCUUACUCGCUUAUGCUAUUUUACCUACGCUUAGGAUGUUGAAGACUCUACAGAGAUA
rnacentral:rRNA from 1 species